rnacentral:lncRNA from 1 species
AUGGCUAGCCCAAAACAAUCUGGACCCCCUUUCCUUAAGAACCAAGAAGCUUCCAUUUUCAAAGCCCUUGAAAACUUUCAAAUAGACUCAGAUCCUAGUUCUACAAGAAAGCCCACUGUGAAGGCUGAUAAGCCCACACUAACCACACAAUUCCAGAAAAAGGAACAGCUUCUUUACUCUGAGGAACCAGAAAGAAGCUUGCUCUGUUCCUCUUCUCAACAGCCAGAGCUUCAGCGCUAG